rnacentral:rRNA from 1 species
CCACUGUCUUAAGAGGACUCUCCAUGAAAUUGAAAUCGUAGUGAAGAUGCUACGUCCAUAUUGUAAGACGAAAAGACCCCAUUGAGCUUUACUAAAGACUUGUAUGGCUCGAAAUAACUUAAAUAAAAAGUUUAGAUAAUGUGGGAUCCGUUUUGGUUAAUGAAACACCACUCUUUUAUUUUAAGAGAGCUAACCUUGUAGGGAGAAUGCAAGUUGGAUAGUUUGGUUGGGGCGACCACCUUUUAAAAGGUAACGAAGGUGAGCUUAAGGUCCGUAGUUAAUAGCUAGUGGCCUGACUGCAAGGGGGACAUCCCGAGCAGACACUGGUAAUCUCUCAGUGGGUUAUAGUGACCCGUCAUCUUAGAGUGGAAUAGUUGACGAUC